GAUGAACGCUAGCUACAGGCUUAACACAUGCAAGUCGAGGGGAAACGACAUUGAAAGCUUGCUUUUGAUGGGCGUCGACCGGCGCACGGGUGAGUAACGCGUAUCCAACCUGCCCACCACUUGGGGAUAACCUUGCGAAAGUAAGACUAAUACCCAAUGAUAUCUCUAGAAGACAUCUGAAAGGGAUUAAAGAUUCAUCGGUGAUGGAUGGGGAUGCGCCUGAUUAGCUUGUUGGCGGGGUAACGGCCCACCAAGGCGACGAUCAGUAGGGGUUCUGAGAGGAAGGUCCCCCACAUUGGAACUGAGACACGGUCCAAACUCCUACGGGAGGCAGCAGUGAGGAAUAUUGGUCAAUGGACGAGAGUCUGAACCAGCCAAGUAGCGUGCAGGAUGACGGCCCUAUGGGUUGUAAACUGCUUUUAUAAGGGAAUAAAGUGAGUCUCGUGAGACUUUUUGCAUGUACCUUAUGAAUAAGGACCGGCUAAUUCCGUGCCAGCAGCCGCGGUAA
rnacentral:rRNA from 1 species